rnacentral:rRNA from 1 species
UACGAAGGGGGCUAGCGUUGUUCGGAAUUACUGGGCGUAAAGGGCGCGUAGGCGGUGUGUCAAGUCAGGCGUGAAAUCCCCGGGCCUAACCUGGGAACUGCAUUUGUGACUGCAUGGCUAGAGUUUGGCAGAGGGGGGUGGAAUUCCACGUGUAGCAGUGAAAUGCGUAGAUAUGGGGAGGAACACCCAUGGCGAAGGCAGCCCCCUGGGAUGUGCCUGACGCUCAUGUACGAAAGCCGGGGGAGCAAACAGG